rnacentral:rRNA from 1 species
UCAGGAUGAACGCUGGCGGCGUGCCUAAUACAUGCAAGUCGAACGAAUCUCUUUUAGAGAUGAGUGGCGAACGGGUGAGUAAUACAUAGGUAACCUGCCCCUGUGCGGGGGAUAACAGGAGGAAACUCCUGCUAAUACCGCAUAGCCAUGAGCACCGCAUGGAGCUCAUGCCAAAUAUCCUUUCGGGGAUAGCGCAGGGAUGGACCUAUGGCGCAUUAGCUUGUUGGCGGGGCAACGGCCCACCAAGGCAACGAUGCGUAGCCGGCCUGAGAGGGCGGACGGCCACAUUGGGACUGAGACACGGCCCAGACUCCUACGGGAGGCAGCAGUAGGGAAUUUUCGGCAAUGGGGGAAACCCUGACCGAGCAACGCCGCGUGAGCGAAGAAGGCCUUCGGGUCGUAAAGCUCUGUUGUAAAGGAAGAACGGCGCAUACAGGAAAUGGUAUGCGAGUGACGGUACUUUACCAGAAAGCCACGGCUAACUACGUGCCAGCAGCCGCGGUAAUACGUAGGUGGCGAGCGUUAUCCGGAAUCAUUGGGCGUAAAGAGGGAGCAGGCGGCCGCAAGGGUCUGUGGUGAAAGACCGAAGCUAAACUUCGGUAAGCCAUGGAAACCGGGCGGCUAGAGUGCGGAAGAGGAUCGUGGAAUUCCAUGUGUAGCGGUGAAAUGCGUAGAUAUAUGGAGGAACACCAGUGGCGAAGGCGACGGUCUGGGCCGCAACUGACGCUCAUUCCCGAAAGCGUGGGGAGCAAAUAGGAUUAGAUACCCUAGUAGUCCACGCCGUAAACGAUGGUCACUAAGUGUCGGGGGUCAAACCCCGGUGCUGCAGUCAACGCAAUAAGUGACCCGCCUGAGUAGUACGUUCGCAAGAAUGAAACUCAAAGGAAUUGACGGAAG